ensembl:ncRNA asRNA:CR46109 antisense RNA:CR46109
AGUCCCCCGUGUAGACAACGCUCUGGGAGCCCACCUUGAUCCAGAACAUGGCGGCGCCCAGGACAUGGCCUGCAUAGUAGGCUUUGAUCUCAAGGUCCGUGUCCACCAUCAUACUCUGGUGAAGUGUGACGGGAAUCACCUUCUUCAUGCAGUCCUUGAUCAUCUGGGUGGUAAAGAAGUUCGACUCGCCUUUCCGCUCUACGGCCACCUUCCGCAUGUCCUCCAGGAGGAUGGGUGCUAUGGCCUUGGUCGGAUGCGUCAUGUAGAUGGGCCCCGUGUAGCCCACAAUCUCUGACAUGUAGGGCAAGGCCCCGCAGUGAUCUGGAAUGCAUGCAAUCGAUAAAGAAACGAUUAGAGCCAGUUGACCAGAUAAGAGCGCCUUUGGGAGGCCGAGACUCACCCAGGUGGAAGUGCGAGAUGAUCACACAGUCAAUGUGGCUGGUGAUCGGACCCUCCGGCACUAUGUAGGAGAAGUCCGGGAAGCGGCGCUCGUCGUUGUAGCCCAUAUGCAUCCCGCAGUCGAGCAUUAUGUUCUUCCCGCCCAUCGAGAGCAGCAGACAGCUGCGGCCCACAUCCUGGCCGGCGCCCAAGGGCGUUAUCUUGAUGUCCGGCAUUUCUGGAAGGGAUCAGGAUCACCCGGCUCCACUCUCCUGCUUUCUUGCGGCCACUUGUUGCGCUGGUAAAUGAAAUUGUCGAAAAAGUCGACCGUGAUUUUUGUAAACAGCAAGGCCGCACGAAUGGCGUUGCCACUCCGUCGGUGUGGAUGGUCCGGCAACGACGCGCUCCAACUGGCAGAUCUUAUUGGAGUGUUCCAAGAAGUUUCAAAGAAUUUAAUAGCUUAAUUGAAAUUAAUGUUUCUGUCUGUAUAUGUAUAG